rnacentral:lncRNA from 1 species
UGCUUGAGUUGUAGUAAAAAAUUUAUACUCAUUGGAUCAUGUAUUACUUAGUUAUAGAUUUAUUUAGGUUUAUGCUUGUUAAAUCUUAAUAAAUCUAUAACUAAGUUACACAUGAUCUAAUGAGUAUGAAAUUUUUACCACAGUUUAACACAUAUAAUAAUUAGCCCAACAUAAAAAAAAUCACCACAAUUGGACUAUACAAAUUAUAGCUAUGAAUUAUUCUAAUUAAUUAUAGAAAAACACAGAUCUAAAGCUACAACAAAAACUUUGUACUAAAGCAUACCAUAUUAUAUGUUCACUGUGUAGAUCUACUUAUCUGGAGUGCAACAAAAUCAGAUUUACUAUUUUAUGAAUUUAUGUGAUUUACUAUAAUUUUACAAAUAUUCAGCCGAAAUAAAUAAAAAUGAAAAAACAAAAUUGCCUUCAAAACCGCUCAUUACCAUGUCAGGGACGUAAUAUGCAUGGUUUGAAAAGUUGAGGGAUGUAUUUUACCCGGUUUUAAAGUUCAGGAAUAAAAAGUAGAUUUUCGCAAAAGUUGAGAGACUUAAAGUGGACUUCUUCCUAAAAACACUAAAUACACCUCUUUAGUUAUAGCCCAACAACAACACAGACAUGCACCGUAAAGAUAGCAGCCC